rnacentral:rRNA from 1 species
GACGAACGCUGGCGGCGUGCCUAAUACAUGCAAGUAGAACGCUGAAGGAGGAGCUUGCUUCUCUGGAUGAGUUGCGAACGGGUGAGUAACGCGUAGGUAACCUGCCUGGUAGCGGGGGAUAACUAUUGGAAACGAUAGCUAAUACCGCAUAAGAGUAGAUGUCGCAUGACAUUUGCUUAAAAGGUGCAAUUGCAUCACUACCAGAUGGACCUGCGUUGUAUUAGCUAGUUGGUGAGGUAACGGCUCACCAAGGCAACGAUACAUAGCCGACCUGAGAGGGUGACCGGCCACACUGGGACUGAGACACGGCCCAGACUCCUACGGGAGGCAGCAGUAGGGAAUCUUCGGCAAUGGACGGAAGUCUGACCGAGCAACGCCGCGUGAGUGAAGAAGGUUUUCGGAUCGUAAAGCUCUGUUGUAAGAGAAGAACGAGUGUGAGAGUGGAAAGUUCACACUGUGACGGUAUCUUACCAGAAAGGGACGGCUAACUACGUG